rnacentral:lncRNA from 1 species
UUGAAAGAAAAAGUGUCGUUUAAUAAAUGCUGUCAUUUGACAUUCUGGUUACUAUUUUAGGGCAGCAUGGUAGGUAGACACUGCUAGUUACUUACCCAAUAUCUAUUUUCCUUUUUUUCUUCCAGGAUUGCCAGAUUUAGAAAAUGAAAACGCAAAACUCCAAGUUAAAUUUGAAUUUAAGUAGACAAUGAAUACUUUUUUGCACUAUUGACAAGAGCCAAGAUGUGGAAUCAAUCUAAGUGCCCAUCAGUGGAUGAAUGGAUAAAGAAAAUGUGGUGUAAAUACACAGUGGAACACUCUUCAGCCAUUUGAAACACAGAUAGAACUGGAGGCCAUUAUGUUAAGUGAAACAAGCCAAACAGAAAGGUAAAUACUGCAUGUUCUCGGAUGUGGGAGCUGAAGUGGAUCUUCUGAAGAUAGAGAAUGGACUGGUGUUACCAGGGGCUGGGAAGGAUUGGGAGUAGGGGGAUGAAGAGAGGUUGAUUAAUGGGUACACAAUCUCACAUAAUGUAUUGUAUGCUUUACUGAAAUAAAAACAGAAUGGUUG